UCGGUGCUUGCACCGAGAUUCAACAUGGAACGAGUGGCGGACGGGUGAGUAACACGUGGGUAACCUGCCCUUAAGUGGGGGAUAACAUUUGGAAACAGAUGCUAAUACCGCAUAGAUCCAAGAACCGCAUGGUUCUUGGCUGAAAGAUGGCGUAAGCUAUCGCUUUUGGAUGGACCCGCGGCGUAUUAGCUAGUUGGUGAGGUAAUGGCUCACCAAGGCGAUGAUACGUAGCCGAACUGAGAGGUUGAUCGGCCACAUUGGGACUGAGACACGGCCCAAACUCCUACGGGAGGCAGCAGUAGGGAAUCUUCCACAAUGGACGCAAGUCUGAUGGAGCAACGCCGCGUGAGUGAAGAAGGCUUUCGGGUCGUAAAACUCUGUUGUUGGAGAAGAAUGGUCGGCAGAGUAACUGUUGUCGGCGUGACGGUAUCCAACCAGAAAGCCACGGCUAACUACGUGCCAGCAGCCGCGGUAAUACGUAGGUGGCAAGCGUUAUCCGGAUUUAUUGGGCGUAAAGCGAGCGCAGGCGGUUUUUUAAGUCUGAUGUGAAAGCCCUCGGCUUAACCGAGGAAGCGCAUCGGAAACUGGGAAACUUGAGUGCAGAAGAGGACAGUGGAACUCCAUGUGUAGCGGUGAAAUGCGUAGAUAUAUGGAAGAACACCAGUGGCGAAGGCGGCUGUCUGGUCUGUAACUGACGCUGAGGCUCGAAAGCAUGGGUAGCGAACAGGAUUAGAUACCCUGGUAGUCCAUGCCGUAAACGAUGAAUGCUAGGUGUUUGGAAGGGUUUCCGCCCUUCAGUGCCGCAGCUAACGCAUUAAGCUUUCCGCCCGGGGGAGUACGACCGCAAAGG
rnacentral:rRNA from 2 species